AUCCAGCUGACAAAUCCCAAAUGGGACGAAACCCGCGUCCUGGAG
rfam:Schistosoma curassoni strain Dakar, Senegal genome assembly, scaffold: SCTD_scaffold0007490